CGCCCGGAAGUUGACGCGGCGCGAUCCCAGCUGAGAGGAAGCUGAUAGGAUCAAGAAAACACAGGGAAGGUUCAGAAGUGGGGAGUGUGCUGCGGCACCUCUUUUAACGGUCGCUCGCUCGGUGUCACUCUUCCCUUGGUACUUACGGUAUUGCAGCCUCGGUGCCCUGUAACAAAGGUUGAAAAGCGAAAAUAAUUCCUGGCGUGGAGCGACGGUAGCCGGGCCGGGACCUUCUAAAACGGAACGGAGAAGCCUAAUGAGCGCGUAGUGAUGACGCAACACGCAGCCUAGGCUUUUCUCUUCCCCAGCGACUUGCCUUCAGACUUGGGUCUUGGACUGGAACCACACUACCGGCUUUCCUGGACUUCCAGCUUGCAGAGGGACUUCUCAGCCUCCAAAACUGAAAUAAGAACUUCUUGGAAAAAUAAUUGCAGCAUCAAAGAAUGCUCUGGAUGAAACAGGUCCUGGACACAAAUUCCAGUUUGCAGCCUACAUUCCCUCAGUCUUAC